rnacentral:rRNA from 1 species
GGGAGUACCGCCGGCAACGGUGAAACUCAAAGGAAUUGACGGGGGCCCCGCACAAGCGGAGGAACAUGUGGUUUAAUUCGAUGAUACGCGAGGAACCUUCCCCGGGCUCAAACGGCACAGUGAUACUUUUGAAAGGAGGUAGCUCUACGGAGACUGUGCCGAGGUGCUGCAUGGUUGUCGUCAGCUCGUGCCGUGAGGUGUCGGCUUAAGUGCCAUAACGAGCGCAACCCCUAUUGUCAGUUGCCAGCAGGUAAAGCUGGGGACUCUGACGAGACUGCCGGCGCAAGCUGAGAGGAAGGCGGGGAUGACGUCAAAUCAGCACGGCCCUUACGUCCGGGGCGACACACGUGUUACAAUGGCAGGCACAGCGGGAAGCCACCCGGCGACGGGGAGCGGAACCCGAAAGCCUGUCUCAGUUCGGAUCCCAGUCUGCAACUCGACUCCGUGAAGCUGGAUUCGCUAGUAAUCGCGCAUCAGCCAUGGCGCGGUGAAUACGUUCCCGGGUCUUGUACACACCGCCCGUCACCCCAUGGGAGUCGGGAAUGCCCGACGUCA